UACGUAGGGUGCGAGCGUUAAUCGGAAUUACUGGGCGUAAAGCGUGCGCAGGCGGCUUCGCAAGUCAGACGUGAAAUCCCCGGGCUUAACCUGGGAAUGGCGUUUGAAACUACGGAGCUGGAGUGUGGCAGAGGGAGGUAGAAUUCCACGUGUAGCGGUGAAAUGCGUAGAUAUGUGGAGGAAUACCGGUGGCGAAGGCAGCCUCCUGGGCCAACACUGACGCUCAUGCACGAAAGCGUGGGGAGCAAACAGG
rnacentral:rRNA from 1 species